AGAGGGCAAAGAGUCCUUACGAGUAAUGAGGUGUUAAUACUUCAAAUGUGAUGGAGUCCUACAUCAUGGUAAGAGGUCUGAACAUCGUCCAAAGACGCCGUCCCGAGACCACAGAUGCAUCCUUAGUCACCAUGGACCAAAGUAGCUACAACCCGGAUGAUGCCUCGGCCGUGCAGAUGACAUUGAAAUGUUUUCCGAGGGAGUUAUUUUUGUGGCGACCCGCCUGGUGACCCCGCCGGUAUAUCGCCCCUAUAAACCACCGCCGUGUUUUUACAGAAGCCCCCUCCGGAGGAGACUGGCAGGAAAAUACCUCGUAUUCACCAGAAACAUCAAAUAUUUCAUGUUUCUUACCGGUUAUCUGGCAGCCGUAGAGCUCGAACCGCAGCGCGAUGCCGUUCUUCCACGUCUGAGGUCGGAUUCGCACAAAGCGGGCCAGAACCGGCUGCGGGAUCCGAUUGAGAACUACCUCCGUGGCAUCGGUGUUUGCAUGGAAGACCUGCACAGACGGAGACACAUAAUAGAUCAGAUCAGUCGAACUUUAACAUUUUUUUAUUGCAUUAAAAUACAAUAGUCUAGUAGGCCUAAGUAUUCAUCAAAAACAAGGCAGAGGUUUUC